AUUGAACGCUGGCGGCAUGCCUAACACAUGCAAGUCGAACGGGGGUAGCAAUACCCUAGUGGCGGACGGGUGAGGAAUACGUAGGAAUUUGCCCUUAAGUGGGGGAUAACCCGGGGAAACCCGGACUAAUACCGCAUGAUCCCGUGAUAGCAAAGCAGGGGACCGCAAGGCCUUGCGCUUUUGGAGAAGCCUACGUCGGAUUAGCUAGUGGGUGGGGUAAUGGCCCACCAAGGCUACGAUCCGUAACUGGUCUGAGAGGAUGAUCAGUCACACCGGAACUGAGACACGGUCCGGACUCCUACGGGAGGCAGCAGUGGGGAAUAUUGGACAAUGGGCGAAAGCCUGAUCCAGCAAUGCCGCGUGUGUGAAGAAGGCCUUCGGGUUGUAAAGCACUUUAGGCUGGAAAGAAAAAGCUUUGGCUAAUAUCCAAAGCCUUGACGGUACCAGCAGAAUAAGCACCGGCUAACUCUGUGCCAGCAGCCGCCGUAAUAC
rnacentral:rRNA from 1 species